rnacentral:rRNA from 1 species
UACGAAGGGGGCGAGCGUUGUUCGGAUUUACUGGGCGUAAAGGGCGCGCAGGCGGCUAGUUUUGUCGAGUGUGAAAGCCCCGGGCUUAACCUGGGAACUGCGCUCGAAACGGGCUGGCUAGAGAUCGGGAGAGGAGAGUGGAAUUCCCAGUGUAGAGGUGAAAUUCGUAGAUAUUGGGAAGAACACCGGUGGCGAAGGCGGCUCUCUGGACCGAUACUGACGCUGACAGCGCGAAAGCCAGGGGAGCAAACGGG